UGACUUUUGCAUCACAGGUCCGGUGGACUCU
rnacentral:piRNA from 1 species